rnacentral:misc_RNA from 1 species
GAUGAAGAACGUAGCGAAAUGCGAUAAGUAAUGUGAAUUGCAGAAUUCAGUGAAUCAUCGAAUCUUUGAACGCACCUUGCGCUCCUUGGUAUUCCGAGGAGCAUGCCUGUUUGAGUGUCAUUAAUAUAUCAACCUCUUCAGCUUAUGCUUGUUGAGUGUUGGAUGGUGGGGGUUUGCUGGUGUCUUAUGAAGUCAGCUCCUCUGAAAUGCAAUAGCGGAACAAUUUGUUGACCGUUCAUUGGUGUGAUAAAAAUAUCUACGCUAUUGACGUCAGUCAGUUCAGCUUCUAACAGUCCAUUGACUUGGACAAAUUUUUCAUUAAUGUGACCUCAAAUCAGGUAGGACUACCCGCUGAACUUAAGCAUAUCAAUAAGCGGAGGA